GAUGAACGCUGGCGGCGUGCUUAACACAUGCAAGUCGAACGGGAUCCAAGGGGUGCUUGCACUUUUUGGUGAGAGUGGCGAACGGGUGAGUAACACGUGAGUAACCUGUCCUUUUCUUUGGGAUAAGCAUUCGAAAGGGUGUUUAAUACCUUAUGUUCUGUCUGCCUCGCAUGGGGUGGGUGGGAAAGGCUUUGGCCGGAUUUGGGUGGGCUCGCGGUCUAUCAGCUUGUUGGUGGGGUGAUGGCUUACCAAGGCUUUGACGGGUAGCCGGCCUGAGAGGGUGGUCGGUCAAAUUGGGACUGAGAUACGGUCCAGACUCCUGCGGGAGGCAGCAGUGGGGGAUAUUGCAAAAUGGGCGAAAGCCUGAUGCAGCGACGCCGCGUGGGGGAUGAAGGCCUUCGGGUUGUAAACUUCUUUUGCUCUGAACAAGGCAUGCCAGUGGGUGUGUUGAGUGUAGGGGUUGAUUAGCGACGGCUAACUACGUG
rnacentral:rRNA from 1 species